CCAAGUUGAGGCUGAACUAAGACUUGAAAAAUAUUUUGCUUCUCCACUAUCCCUCUGAAUGACCUUUGGCAAAUCUGACCUCAGUGCAUCUGUUCAACAGAAGCAGUAUGAAGAGUCCCAGGAGUGGGAGAGCACAACCUCCGUGGAGAUAGUACAUCAGAUACGAAUUGGGAAGAUAAUCUGCUCCACCUUGCAUCAUCAUCUGGAAUAGAACAGCCCUCUGUUUGAAAGAGUCUUGGCAUUCCAAGUAGCAGAAGACAAAUCCCCUGUGACAGACUUGAGGAACUUUAUUCACAGCAGCAAUCCCGACAGAGGAAGAAAGACACACCUAAGGAAAGCUGCAUUGGUGCAGGAGGUUUGCCAGAACGUGAGCUUUGCACUGGGAGAGAGCUCCAGCAAUGUGCUAUUCUUAGCCUCUUACAGGGGUUGGACUGUGUAACUUUUAAUUGAUAAAAUCAUACUGGCUUUCAGUACAGCUUUGGAUUUCUGCCUAUCAUGUUUGCAUUGCAAAUGAGCAGUAAGGGCUUAUGCAAAAUAGAAGCACCAUAUACCAAAUAAAAGUAAACCACCUAGAUAUGGUCUACUGAAAAAAAAAAUCUAAAAAGAGGUAGUUAUUAUUAUCCAUAUCCCACUUGUGCUGGAAUGGGAAAAAUAAAUCAGAUAAGGAAGACUUUGUUAUGAAGCCUAAAUGUGCAAGAGGAUUUCUCGGGUAA